rnacentral:rRNA from 1 species
UUCCGGUUGAUCCUGCCGGAGGCAACUGCUAUUGGGGUCCGCCUAAGCCAUGCGAGUCGACCGGGCUUUCCUCCUUCGGGAGGAGGGCCAGGGGCGGACGGCUCAGUAACACGUGGGUAAUCUACCCUCGGGUCGGGCAUAACCCCGGGAAACUGGGGCUAAUACCCGAUAGGUGGAGAGGUCUGGAAGGAUCCUCCGCCGAAAGCUCCGGCGCCCGAGGAUGAGCCUGCGACCGAUUAGGUAGUUGGCGGUGUAACGGACCACCAAGCCUGUGAUCGGUACGGGCAGUGGGAGCUGUAGCCCGGAGAUGGGGGCUGAGACACGGCCCCAGGCCCUACGGGGCGCAGCAGGCGCGAAAACUCCGCAAUGCUCGCAAGAGCGACGGGGGGACCCCAAGUGCCCCUGCACUGCAGGGGCUUUUGCGGAGUGUAAACAGCUCCGCGAAUAAGGGCUGGGCAAGANCGGUGCCAGCCGCCGCGGUAACACCGGCAGCUCAAGUGGUGGCCACUGUUAUCGGGCCUAAAGCGUUCGUAGCCUGCUCGGUAAGUCCUUGGGAAAAUNCGCUCGUUCCACGAAACGGGACCCUGUAGGAUACUGCCGAACUUGGGAACGAGAGAAGUCGGAAGUACUCCUGGGGUAGCGGUGAAAUGCUGUAAUCCUGGGGGGACUAACAGUGGCGAAAGCGUCCGA